rnacentral:lncRNA from 1 species
GGCUUACGGGAGUAGACAGACACCAAGUGGAGGUCGCUAUUAUCGCUUAACAAAUAAAAUAAAACAAAUGUGCACUGGAGUUUUUGUGUCCAUCCAUCUAACACAUUUACGGUAUGGUCGGUUCCCAAAAAAACCUCUAUUUCAUUUCGUCUCGACGAAUUAAGUUUCGAACGGUGUGCUGCAGCCAAGUCCACGGCACCGACCGUAUAGCCGGAGCAACAAUAGUCUGUGGGUUAACCUAAACCCAAGUCUACGGAGACUGUCACUCCAAACGAAAGCUCCACACGGGCUGGUUAGGUUAGUGACAUUAGUCCCAUGUCUAAAAACCUUAGCAAGCAGCCCCAGCGACUAAAGAGAAUAAUACCUUGAAGUAACUUAGUCAAGUGGAACAUUUUUAACUUAGUCGUUCGAACUUGCAGAGUACUACGCAAAAGGGGGGGGGAAGAAACAGGGCUUCUUGUGUACGGAGUACAGAGCAUGUAGAAACGGGUCUAGAAUCAGCCAGGCAUCGACGAUUUUGAACUACGUAGUAGAUGCCAAAUGGAGUCUGUACAUGAAUCCA